rnacentral:rRNA from 1 species
GUUUGAUCCUGGCUCAGAACGACCCUUUGCAGCGCGUCUUAAGCAUGCAAGUCGAACGGCAAGGCAGGUGCUUGCACCUGCCCUAGAGUGGCGGACUGGUGAGUAACACGUGGGUGACAUGCCUUUUAGUUGGGGAUAGCUACUAAAAAUAGUAAAUAAUACCGAAUGUGAUCAAUAUUUAUAGAUGAUGUUGAGGAAAGGAGCUAAGGCUUCGCUAAAAGAUUGGCCCGCGGCCCAUUAGCUAGUUGGUAGGGUAAAGGCUUACCAAGGCGAUGAUGGGUAUCCGGCCUGAGAGGGUGAUCGGACACAUUGGGACUGAGAUACCGCCCACACUCCUACGGGAGGCAGCAGCUAAUAAUAUUCCACAAUGGACGAAAGUCUGAUGGAGCGACGCCGCGUGGAUGAUGAAGGCCGAAAGGUUGUAAAAUCCUUUUACACUGAAGGAAUAAGCAGAGUAGGGAAUGACUCUGUGAUGACUGUACAGUUUGAAUAAGCAACGGCUAAUUACGUGCCAGCAGCCGCGGUAACACGUAAGUUGCGAGCGCUGUUCGGAAUUAUUGGGCGUAAAGGGCAUGUAGGCGGAUUUGCAAGCUUGAUGUGAAAUCCCGCAGCUUAACUGCGGAACUGCAUUGGGAACUGCAAGACUAGAGUUACUGAGGGGAAACUAGAAUUCCAAGUGUAGGGGUGAAAUCUGUAGAUAUUUGGAAGAAUACCAAUGGCGAAGGCAAGUUUCUGGCAGAUAACUGACGCUGAGGUGCGAAGGUGCGGGGAGCAAACAGGAUUAGAUACCCUGGUAGUCCGCACAGUAAACGAUGUACACUAGGUGUUUGACCAUGAGGUUGAGUGCCAUAGCUAACGCAAUAAGUGUACCGCCUGGGAAGUAUGCCCGCAAGGGUGAAACUCAAAGGAAUUGACGGAGGCCCGCACAAGCAGCGGAGCAUGUGGUUUAAUUCGAAGCAACGCGAAGAACCUUACCUAGACUUGACAUCUCCUGAAUUACUCUGUAAUGGAGGAAGUCGCUUCGGCGACAGGAAGACAGGUGGUGCAUGGUUGUCGUCAGCUCGUGUCGUGAGAUGUUGGGUUAAGUCCCGCAACGAGCGCAACCCUUAUUGUUAGUUGCUACCAUUUAGUUGAGCACUCUAGCGAGACUGCCCGGGUUAACCGGGAGGAAGGUGGGGAUGACGUCAAAUCAUCAUGCCCCUUAUGUCUAGGGCUACACACGUGCUACAAUGGUCGGUACAGAGAGAUGCUAAACCGUGAGGUGGAGCCAAACUUUAAAACCGAUCUCAGUUCGGAUUGUAGGCUGAAACUCGCCUACAUGAAGCUGGAGUUGCUAGUAAUCGCGAAUCAGAAUGUCGCGGUGAAUACGUUCCCGGGCCUUGCACUCACCGCCCGUCAA